rnacentral:lncRNA from 1 species
AUCACAUGGACCUGGUGUGUAUAAGAAAACCCGAUAACAGAUGGUAACUACAACUACUACUCAUUAAAAUCCUGAUAUUGAACUAAACCAUGUUGCGUUGAAAAGGAAAUCCAGAGCUCUGGAAGAUGAAUCCUUACUUAUGGGGAUGUUCAGUCCAGGGCAUAAGGCUCUAGCUAGCCUGAAGCUUGAAAAAUUGUAAGGCCUUGAUCUGCUCCUGUUGUGGUGAAUUGCUUGCUAGAGUAAUCAUAGUCUCAGUUAGACUUCCUCCAUGCUUUUUGGACAGGAUUUAAUGCAAUUAUUUUUAGACCUAUGAAAAGUCAUGCCACUCAUCCAAGCUAGGUGGCCUUAAUUCUCCCUCUAGUCACCAGGUCAGGGCUUUCAAUCUGUUCCACUUGAAAAUUUCUAUGGAAUAUGGGAUAUUGCAUAUUUAAGACAUGGGAUGAUGGCUUCUGGGAGCUGCUUCUCUUCCUCACUAGGCUCUCAAGGAUAUACAAGCACUAGCUCAACCCAAAAGGGUUGCUGGUAUACCUGGUGCCUCUAGUAUCCACAUAUUCCAUCAUCUUGAGGACCAGGAAGAAAGAUG